rnacentral:rRNA from 1 species
CAAAGGUAGCAUAAUCAUUUGUCCACUAAUUAUGGACUAGUAUGAAAGGCAAAAUGAGGGUUUAACUGUCUCUUAUAGUAAGUCAAUUAAACUGAUCUACCAGUAAAAAAGCUGGUAUAAAUACACAAGACCAGAAGACCCUGUGAAGCUUAAACUAAAUUAUUAAACUACAUAAUAACUACUUUCGGUUGGGGCGACCUUGGAAAAAAAAGAACUUCCAAAUUAGUGACAAUUUAUCACCCCCAGGCCAACAAGCCACAUAUGACCCAGCACACCUGAUAACUGAACCAAGUUACUCCAGGGAUAACAGCGCCAUCUUCUUCAAGAGUCCAUAUCAAAAAGAAGGUUUACGACCUCGAUGUUGGAU